rnacentral:ncRNA from 1 species
GAGAUAGAGGCGCGUUGCAUCAUCAGUACCCGACGCCAAUGCCGUGCAGGGCAGGCCCGGGGAAAGGGAUGGACGCCGAAGGCGGUCUUCGCUGCAAAGGAGGCCGAACUGGGCGGGCAAACUAAGAGUUGCCCGACUGUCGCAAAUGGUAAAGUUUGCGGAGGGCUAUCC